UACGUAGGUGGCAAGCGUUGUCCGGAAUUAUUGGGCGUAAAGCGCGCGCAGGCGGUCCUUUAAGUCUGAUGUGAAAGCCCACGGCUCAACCGUGGAGGGUCAUUGGAAACUGGGGGACUUGAGUGCAGGAGAGAAGAGUGGAAUUCCACGUGUAGCGGUGAAAUGCGUAGAGAUGUGAAGGAACGCCGGUGGCGAAAGCGACUCUCUGGCUCGUAUCUGACGCUGAGGCGCGAAAGCUUGGGUAGCAAACGGG
rnacentral:rRNA from 1 species